rnacentral:rRNA from 1 species
AACGAACGCUGGCGGCAUGCCUAACACAUGCAAGUCGAACGAGACCUUCGGGUCUAGUUGCGCACGGGUGCGUAACGCGUGGGAACCUGCCCUUAGGUUCGGAAUAACUCCCCGAAAGGGGUGCUAAUACCGGAUAAUGUCUUCGGACCAAAGAUUUAUCGCCUUUGGAUGGGCCCGCGUUGGAUUAGCUAGUUGGUAGGGUAAAAGCCUACCAAGGCGACGAUCCAUAGCUGGUCUGAGAGGAUGAUCAGCCACACUGGGAAUGAGACACGGCCCAGAAUCCUACGGGAGGAAGCAGUGGGGAAUAUUGGACAAUGGGGGAAAGACUGAUCAAGCAAUGCCGCGUGAGUGAUGAAGGCGUUAGGGUUGUAAAGCUCUUUUACACGGGAUGAUAAUGACAGUACCGGGAGAAUAAGCUCCGGCUAACUCCGUG